GAGUUUGAUCAUGGCUCAGAUUGAACGCUGGCGGCAUGCCUAACACAUGCAAGUCGAGGGGUAGAGUUAGCUUGCUAACUUGAGACCGGCGCACGGGUGCGUAACGCGUAUGCAAUCUACCUUGUACAGGGGGAUAGCCCAGAGAAAUUUGGAUUAAUACCCCAUAGUGUUAUUGAAUGGCAUCAUUUGAUAACUAAAGUUCCAACGGUACAAGAUGAGCAUGCGUCCCAUUAGCUAGUUGGUGUGGUAACGGCAUACCAAGGCAAUGAUGGGUAGGGGUCCUGAGAGGGAGAUCCCCCACACUGGUACUGAGACACGGACCAGACUCCUACGGGAGGCAGCAGUGAGGAAUAUUGGUCAAUGGGCGCAAGCCUGAACCAGCCAUGCCGCGUGCAGGAUGACGGUCCUAUGGAUUGUAAACUGCUUUUAUACGGGAAGAAACCACCCCCUUGUGAAGGGACUUGACGGUACCGUAAGAAUAAGGAUCGGCUAACUCCGUGCCAGCCGCC
rnacentral:rRNA from 1 species